AUUGAAAAGAAUCAUAUUGAUUAAACUAUUACUAUCAGAAGAAAUGGAAAUGAAUAUAAUAGCUGAUCAUCACUCUAGUGGGCCCAGGCUUAAAACAUUGGGCUUAGUAUCCAAACCCAGCGACCUGGGGUCUGGACUUGCUUAACCAAACUCCAGAUGUGCCGAUUUGCUAGUCCAUUCCACUUCACGUAAGUCCCUGAUGGAAUUGGUUCUGAAAAAUAACUAUACAGAUUUAAAUCUUCAAAUUAGGCACAAUGAACUUGAAUCAGAAUAUGUACAACUAAAUUAAGGAUUAAUUUAUAAAUAUCGCCUAUUCUAUAGCUAUUGUUCACAGUAUGACGAUUUUACACCAAUAGCCAAAUCCCAACCCCGCACUUUCAUUUCAUUCUUCACAUUCCUUCAAUGAAGCCUUGCCUUUAUCACCUGUUCAAUUAUAUCCUUUCUUCUCGAGCUGACUUUAAUUCAUAAUCAUAAGUAUAAACUAACAUCAGGAAUUGCAUAAGCAAACAAAAGAUUAGAUUCAUUAUGAAACUAUAACUAUCCUUUGAAUAGCACAUUAUAGCAGCUCAAUCAAAGGUAGACCGGUUUAACUAUUGAACAACAACACACGAAAUCAGAUGUAAACACAACAAAUCACUCGACUCUUCAUUAACACAUUCAAAUAGAGUUAUAGAAGGAGUUUCAAAUACCUAGAAGCAAAAUCAAUAGAUGAACUUGACAAAUAAGAAUCAGAGAAAGAAAGUGAAGAUCUAGCUAGCAAAACAUCAACAAGCUCACAAUCAAACAAACAGCUCCAGAACUUCAAAACAAUUCGAAAUCCAAGGAAGAAAGUGAUGCAAAAAUCAGUAAAAUGGAAGAGCAAAACAACUUUUGUAGCUUUUUUUUUUCUAUCUAUUUUUGAACCUCAAAUUCUCGUUUUCAAAAAGAAAUCAGGGUGAAUGAAAGGAACCUGAAUUUUAGAGAGAUUUUUAUGUCAAAAUCCCAUGUGACAAGGAGAGGAGGAAUACCUUUUUAGAGAAUGUGAACAUGUGCCCAUGAUAGGGAAUGGGAGAGAGAUUAAAAGGAAU
rnacentral:lncRNA from 1 species